rnacentral:rRNA from 1 species
CCUACGUGGGGCUGCAGUGGGGAAUAUUGGACAAUGGGCGAAAGCCUGAUCCAGCCAUGCCGCGUGUGUGAAGAAGGCCUUCGGGUUGUAAAGCACUUUCAGUGGGGAAGAAAGCCUUGGGGCUAAUACCCUCGAGGAAGGACAUCACCCACAGAAGAAGCACCGGCUAACUCCGUGCCAGCAGCCGCGGUAAUACGGAGGGUGCGAGCGUUAAUCGGAAUUACUGGGCGUAAAGCGCGCGUAGGCGGUCUGAUAAGCCGGUUGUGAAAGCCCCGGGCUCAACCUGGGAACGGCAUCCGGAACUGUCAGGCUAGAGUGCAGGAGAGGAAGGUAGAAUUCCCGGUGUAGCGGUGAAAUGCGUAGAGAUCGGGAGGAAUACCAGUGGCGAAGGCGGCCUUCUGGACUGACACUGACGCUGAGGUGCGAAAGCGUGGGUAGCAAACAGGAUUAGAUACCCUGUAGUC